GUUGUGAGACAGUGGCUCGUCAAAGCACUAGGUCUCCUGCUCUAGAGACUUUGUUUUUGACGCGGGAGUUGUAAUAGCGAGCGACUUUCUGUUUGUAGACUGCCAUCCGAACUUGAGCUGCCUCCCACUUUUCUUCUAACAAGUCGAGGUUGGUUUUGAGACCCUGCGAAUUAUGAUGCUCAUUGAAUGCCACGACUCGUACUGACGGGAGUUUGAGCUCAAUUGAGAUAACAGCCUCCAUUCUGAAGGCUAGAGCAAAGGGGGUCUCCCCCGUGGGCAGUCUUUGGGUAG
rnacentral:lncRNA from 1 species